rnacentral:pre_miRNA from 1 species
ACUACUGAUUGUCCAAACGCAAUUCUUGUUCGUUGUUAGCGUGUCAUCAAGAACUGUGGAUGGACAUCAUUAGUU